UCCCUUUCUCACCUCUGUUCUUCCUUUAAGAAGUGGCCUUCCGGUAAGAAUCUCAGCGAAAACACAUCCCACGCUCCAAAGAUCGAUUGAUACGCUAUAACUCGUGGAACCCAUUAGAAGUUCAGGUGCACGGUACCAUAGCGUCACAACCCGGCUUGUUAACUGAUUCUUGUUUCUUGGCGUUACAAUGUUGGCUAGUCCAAAAUCAGCUAGCUUCAAAACUCCUUUGUUAUUCACCAGAAUGUUUGCGGCUUUGAUGUCUCUGUGCAUUAUCCCUCGUAAAUGACAAUGUUCUACGCCCAACAGAAGCUGCUGCAUGUAGCAUUUGAUCUGAAAAGGAAAUUAGGGUUAUCAGUAAAACAAAACAGAGUUACUUGCGCCAGACGUCAUGUUUUUUUCUCUGUAUGUCUUUCUUACUUGUGCCUCGGUGAAUUUGAUGUCAGGAGAUGAACAUAAGCCUUCGAGAUCAUGUUCCAUGUAAUCGAACACAAAGUACAUGCUAUUUGAAUUCCGUGACGCGAUGAUCCCUUCGAGUUUCAUGAUGUUUGGAUGAUCUAAUCUUCUCAAAAUCAUGAUUUCUCUCGCAAUGAAUCUUAUGUUUUCAGUUUCAAAAUUUUGAACCCUUAUUUUCUUUAGAGCCAUAACUCGUCCCGUCGAUACCUCACAAGCCCGGAACACGUUGCUAUACGUCCCUUGCCCAAUCUAAGAUUUUUUUCAAAAAAAAUGGUAGAAGUUAAUUGUUUACAUCAUAAUAGGGUUGUUUCUUGCAUUACAAGGUAUGUUUAGAGAACCUUCUCUCUUUUCUCGAAGUCCUCUGCGAGUAAUGGGCUCCAUCCGUGAACGGCCUCCGGUGCGGCAGAGCUGAGCCAUGAAGGCCAACCACCCGCCACCUGCUCAGCCUCUACAUUACCAUGCGUCAAUCCCGAUCUCAGGCUAACUCCGGUUGUCCUCGAUCUUGGAGCAUCAUCGUCUUUAUUGCGAUGCUUUUUUGGAGAUGAGUUAACAACACGGCGGUGAGGUGGAGGACUAGGAAGAACAUGAGGUUUGUGGUUGUUUUGGGGAUGACUCCGGUGGACAGCGGUGUCUAAACGGCGGCGGAGAUGGCGUGGAGGACCAGCGGGAGAAGAAUGCUUGGAGUGGAAGCAACCCAUAAUAACGAAAGCUAAUUAUCAAAGGAGAGGUUCCGGGUGGCGUGAGUAUGGACCCGAGUCGGGUAACGGGUCCAACGCAGGGAGGACAAUCCCCGCAUUAGACCAUAAAGAAAUGAAAAAAAAAGUGAGAAAAUUCAAAAACUGAAAGGAAAUUAGGUUUUGCUCAAAAGAGAGGAAAAUAGGUUUGGAUGUAAAAUCGAGAGAGAUAAUUACGGAUAAUAAGACAAUCCCUCCUUAUACAUUGGAAGAGAAAUAGAAAAGAAAAGCUAAUCUUCUUAUCUUUACUAUUUGUCUUUGUAUUAUUUACAAUAGAUUUAUAUAUAUUAUACAAGCACAUUUUAAAACAAAAAAAAAACUAAUAAAUUACUAGAGUUUAAAGGGAAAAGAAAUAUAUGUUACAUUCAUAUUCUCAAACAAUGAUUAGAUACAAAGAAAAUUACACAAUUAAUAGAAAAAGAAACAAAAACUUGUUAGAGCUGGUUUUAAUUUUAUUUUCCUUAGUCAAGCAUGCACAAGUCACAUUACACAUGUUACAAGUCAAUAAGAAGUAGCCUUCAGUAUCACUAACGAAGAUGCGAUCAAGAAGCUAGUGUGAUCAGAGUUCAGUUUGAGUUUUCUUGGUAUGAUCUUCAAAUUCCUUUGGAGUUUGAUACUAGAGAUUGCUAAAAGAGAUGUAGAGAAAGAUGGCGAGAUCUGUGCUCAGACGCAUGGGUUUCAACAUUGAGGAGUCCAUUGAUAAAGUUGAAGAGGUACAAAGAUUGGCUAACAGAUUGUAUAGAGAUGUGUCUCAAAUGAAGGGGGAGAUAUCAAAGCUUGAAGUUGAUUUUGCUGUUGCUGAGAUCAGAUGUAAAUGAUAUGUUUUUUUAUGAGACUAAUCAUGGUGUCCACUGUUUCAGAGGUAGAUGAAUAUAUAUUAAACCCUAAACAAUGUUGUAGCGGCGAGUUUCUCGUAAUAUUUUAAUUUACUAAUAGUGUAGCAAUCAUGUAAUUAAACAUGAAAAUAUCUAUAAAUUAUCUUAUUCAAAAUGAAUAUAUGAGGUAAUCAAUUAAAAUGAUGUAUUGGUUAGACUAAUUAAUAAUCUGUUUAGUUUUCUGUAAAUCAAAAAAAAAAAUAGUUUUAAACUUUGUGCAGUACUAAAAUCACCAUUUUACUUUUGUUUGUAUUAUAUUUCAUACAGACUAGUCUUGUAUUAUAAUAUAGACUAUAUGUUUCAUACAUAUUAGUCUAUGCAUAUUAAUUAAACAUGUGAACUUCAUGCAACUAAAAAUCGACCAAAUAUUUAAAAAUUGCCAAAAAUGAAGAAGAGCAAAGUAGAUUAGUAUGGAAUACAUAAGAACAUGAACAGUUAUGGUACAAUCUUAUGAAAUAAUGGCUCUAGUCUUUAAAGUUCUUAAAAGUAUAUUAUAUAGAUAACAAUUUCCACAUUAUGAAAAAAAAAUUAUACAUAUUUUUAGGAACUGUUUAUAGUUUCCAUAUGACUUGCAUAAGAGUCGAAGAUAAACUGUUUCCAAAACAUCUUUGAAGUCAUGUGAUAACGCGGCCAAAUUGCAACUUAUUAUAUCACCUACAAGACAAACAUCAAAUAUUUGAAAACUAGAUGUUUGUUCAAAAACUUUAAUACUGAAGUUAUAUAUGUUCUCAUCCACAUAUAAUUUCUGUAAAUGUGAAUAAACAACUAUAGAUGUGAAGAAAAACUAUAGAUCUGUUGUUUUUUUUUUGAAACACCCUAUAGAUCUGUUGUUAAGCAGUAGAAUUUGGGGGAAAAACUUUUGGAUAAAUUUUUAAAAUAGCAACUAACAGGUCUUUGGGAAAAACUUUGUCAUGUUCCAACAUCAAAUACAUAUAUUGUCUGACUCAUGGGCCAGAAUAUCGGGGUAUGCACUUAUUGAGUUUAGAAAUAAAUAAUAUUUUAUCAUAUAGUUGUGUAUAGAUGCAGGGCCGGGCCGGGCCUGAAAAAUAUUGGUCCACAAGCAAAAAAAUAUUUUUGGCCCUUUUAUUUCAUAAAAACAGUGAAAAUAUUGAAAAAACAGUUAGGAGAUUCGAUCCCGGGUCCAUAUCCGCACUGAGAGUAAAGUUACUAGUAGAGCUACAUGAUGUCUUUGUUUACUAUUGGCCCUUAAAACAUAUAUAUUUUUUUCGGGCCCCAAACACAUGCUUGAUGGGCUUCUAUUCAGGCCCGGCCCUAGAUGUCAUUGACAUGUUACAUCAUAUAAAGUGUAAUAGUGACAACUACCAUUACAAUGGUUCCAAACUGAAAGACCUAUAUACAAAUCAAAGCCCAAAAUAUAGGUCCAAUAAAGUUUUUUCUUUUCAUAUAAAGCAAAUUACACUUAUCUUUCAGGUUUCAACAAUUGAUUUCCCACCAACAAAAGCAUAGCAUGAACAAUCUCCCAAGGCACAGACACACUGACACAACGAAUGACUGAAGAUCCAAGAAACCAACAUAAUAGAGAGUAACGAACACUACGAGCUACGGAGGAAGGAGUUUCACUUUGCUAAGAAUCUAAACAAUCGUUUUUUUCUCAUAAAAAGAAGUCAAGACUCGUUAACAAAACCGCAGUACCGCGUCCCACAUUGUCCCGAUCACUGUAAAAACAGCUACUGGAAUGACAAACUGAUGUGCAAAACCAAAGUUGGAGAAGGCUCGUCUUGCACUGUUCUUGAUAGGUGCUGCGAUUGGUGGGGGAGGCGGUUUCUCAACUAAAACAUCGAGCUUCAUACCACCGUAACAUCCACCACCGCUACCGCUAAUGAGAUAGUAAUGUCUGGUCACAUUGAGAUGAACAACGUCCCUUCCAGAUCCACGGCUCCAGUUAGCGAUCGGGUUAUCGGCAUUGCAACUUAUGUAGUUGGUCUCGUUCACUUCUAUAACGUUGUAUUGGUUUCUCUCGUACACAAAAUCUGAAAGAAAAAAAAAACAAAUAGAGACACAUGGAUAGAAACUAUAUAAGUCAAACAAGAUACGUGAAAGGAUAAACAUUAAUCUUAGUUUACUAUCCUUUUACUGUAAGAAAACGACUAGGAAAGAAUCUAGUGGUCCUUUUCAGACAAGAUAAGAUUGAUUGUGUUGGACAAGAUCUUACACAAAGUUUUAAGAUGUUGUAACGUAUUAAAAGAGUGUAAGCGACCCAUUUCACAUCAGAUCUAAAUCAUAUAAUGUAGAGUGUGACAAGAAUCAACGUUGAUAGAGAGUGACAGGGAAUAGUACAGAGCCAGUCGUCGAGGUAGAAAUGUUUGUCCUGAGCCCAAAUGGUAUAGUUGAUAUUGGGAUUCCAGAACUUGUUAUCACCCACUAUCCAUCUCUUAGCGGCCACCUCAGUCACCGGAGCUGCCGCAAGAAAAGCCAGAACCACUGCCGCAGCCAUCAACGCAAGUCUAGCCAUCGAUCACUCUAGAAAGAAAAAGAAGAAGCUCAGUGCUUAAUGACUCUCUUAGUCUUAUCUCUCAAGAAAUAGCAGUUUUAUGAAUGAAUGUAUAUGAGCGAGUGGGGCUGUUUCCAAGUCAAAUCAGACAUACAUAUUUCUCGUUUUACGGGGAAAAGAUCUCUCAAGAUCCGUAAUUUCUUCAACUAACGUUUGGAAUCUUAUUACUACUUUAAUCAACCUCGAUGUUGACGAUGAAGUACGCGUUAAUUAAAGGUACGCGUUAUAUAGUUAAGGGAGUAAUUAGAUUUUAAUUGCUGGCAUUAUUAUUAUUUUUCUCUGGUUAGUACAUUAUUCAGUUUUGUAGUAAUAUUUUCUCACCUUUUUGGCGGGAAUUUAUUUCCAUUUUCUUUUUUCAAGGGUUCAGACUUCAGAGAUUCAAUUCCUUUAUUUACAUACGAAAUGAGUAUAUAUAUAUAUAUAUAUAUAUAUAUAUCUUUUGAAUAUUUAAAAUAAAAAUAAAUUACUAUAACAGUGAUACAUAUCAAAAUUUCCAAAACUAUGUGAGUACUUAUAAUAGUUGUACUUCUUAGUAAAAUAACGAGAUAUGUUUAUGGCUCGUCGCAUACAAAAAAGCAGAGCAUAUGUUCCCGCAAUAACAUGCACACGCAACUGAUGGCACGUCGUAACCAUUUCCGCGAACCAACCAAUGGAUAUUGUAAUUCGAUAAGACGACGUCGUGUUUUUGACCACGAAUAUUUCUUAAAUUUCCUUUUAUCUUUUGUUUUUGACGUCAUCACAUUGGUUUAUGUCCACACGAUAUCAGUCAUAAAAUCCACGUAGGAACGACUAUCCAUUACACCCAUCCACGUGUUCUCAUAACAGCUUCUAGUUCCAUUACCUGAACGAACAAUAGAAACAGAGCAUCGAACUGAGAAAGAAGAAGAAGGGAAGCAAGAGAAAUGGCGGCAGCGGUAAGAAUUAGACAAUUGNNNNNNNNNNNNNNNNNNNNNNNNNNNNNNNNNNNNNNNNNNNNNNNNNNNNNNNNNNNAGUGAGUAAUGUGAAGAGACAUGAAACCUUGUCCGUCGUAAUAAAGUUUUAGUUCUUUUGGAUCCCACGGCAGAAUAACUCCUCUCCAUGCCUUUGAUCCUCCUCCACUUGUCAGAAAUUGAAUCCCACUUCACCAAUUCCAAACAAUGAAUUAUUUAGGUUUUGUCUGAAGUAGUAAACAUUUAAACUUAACUAAGACUUUGACUAAUCUAGAUUCAAAUAAAAUUUGUUUAAAACAAAAUGAUUUCGUGUUUUAUUUUUCAUUCAAGAAUGUAAACCAAUACGAUCCCUAUUGAUGAAAAGAAGAAGUAAAUAGAACUUUACCCGUCGGACCCAAUGUGCUGCAAGCAAUGAUCAUGUCCGUUCAUGUACACGUCCACUUUAUUUUCCUUCAAUAGUAAAUAAAAGAAUUACGACAAAAGUACUAAAUAAAUAUCCCCUAUACUAUAUUUGCGAAGUGAUUUUGCCACGUGUCCUUUCUACAAUCAAUUUCACAAAACAAAUAUGACAUGGCUACUGAAAUUGAUGACAUGUCUUAUAGCUUAAUAUGACAUGAGGCUAAAGAUGGAAUUUCUUUAAUCUAUAAUAACAUAUCAUUAUUACUAAUUUAUUGUGGUCCAAUAUGUUCUGAAUUUCACAUUUAAUCUUUUUUAUUAGUACUAUGGAUAAAUAAUUCAACUUGCAUCUUUUAUUUUGUUUGAAAAGUUUGAUUAGAUAACCAGAUUGAUGGUGUUUAAUUUGUAAUAGUCAUCUUAUAUGCCACCAUUUGGUCUCCCUUUUUCUUUGUGUCAACGUGUUGCUAUUUGUACAAUUUUACUUAUGCAUAACCUAAGGUAAUUUUUUAUGGGUAAUUGAAACAUUGAGUAAAGGAUAACCAAAAACUUUACAUGAGUAAACAUAUGAGAUGGUUUCACUUGGUAAAAAUGUCUAGUAUCCCCUAAACUAUAUUUGAGAAGUGAUUUGUAUAUGUGUGUCGUCGCUUGAGAUGAUGUCUCUGAUGGUGUCUGGACAAUGAUCUCUGUCUCAGCUUCCUUCUUUCCUUCCUGCGUUAACAUUUAACCAAAUUACGAAUAAAGAACCGGAGAUUAGAAGCAUCGGUUUACUCCGGUCUAUUUCCAGCUUCAAAACAUAAAAAAAAAAUUAUCAAUGAGGGUAACUUGCUGGAAUACGUACCUGUUGGGUUGGUAACUUGUUGAGAUUCGUAGGCUCUUUGAUUGUUGAUUUCCCUGAUUUCUUGGGUGCCAAGUUAUCUCUUUUCCUUAUACCAACUCUUCUCCUGCAAAAACAAAUAUUUUAACCUCUAAACACACGUAUAUGUAAAAAGUUUGUGAAAAUCGAUAAUGAUUUAAACCUUCGUUGAAGUUCUUCGCGAUACUUAGCAUCCAUUUCUUUGUUAGGAGGGUACUUAGGUAACGUCGAUGGAUCACAAGCGUAAGGCUUUGUGUUAAAAUACUGAAAUAACAGCAAAAAACCACAAAUAAGACCAGAUAGUGUCAGUUUAAAUUUAUUCAUUUCUGUUUAGGUUUUCUUUAAUACCUCUGACAUGAUAGCAGAAGAGGCAGUUCCUCGUUUCUCAGGAUUAGUAGAUAAUAAUUUCUCCAGAAGACUAACUGCUGUUUUUGGAAACUCCUCAAAACUUUCUCUCAGACAACCUUCAUAUUGAUGUUGUGGUCUAAACAUCUUAGUUUGAGAAUGAAGCUUAUUGUUCUUUUCCCAAAAUUCUUCAUCUGGUGGUCCACAGAGUUUAUAAAUCUUGUGAAGUUGUUCAAUCUACAUAAAACAAACAAAUAAAUAUUAUCUCUAUUUGGAAUGAGUAAUUUCUAUAUAUAUAGCUUGGGUCCCUUUCCUCACCUCUGUUCUUCCUUUAAGAAGUGGCCUUCCGGUAAGAAUCUCAGCGAAAACACAUCCCACGCUCCAAAGAUCGAUUGAUACGCUAUAACUCGUGGAACCCAUUAGAAGUUCAGGUGCACGGUACCAUAGCGUCACAACCCGGCUUGUUAACUGAUUCUUGUUUCUUGGCGUUACAAUGUUGGCUAGUCCAAAAUCAGCUAGCUUCAAAACUCCUUUGUUAUUCACCAGAAUGUUUGCGGCUUUGAUGUCUCUGUGCAUUAUCC
rnacentral:lncRNA from 1 species